rnacentral:rRNA from 1 species
UACGUAGGUGGCAAGCGUUGUCCGGAAUUAUUGGGCGUAAAGCGCGCGCAGGCGGUUCCUUAAGUCUGAUGUGAAAGCCCCCGGCUCAACCGGGGAGGGCCAUUGGAAACUGGGGAACUUGAGUGCAGAAGAGAAGAGCGGAAUUCCACGUGUAGCGGUGAAAUGCGUAGAGAUGUGGAGGAACACCAGUGGCGAAGGCGGCUCUUUGGUCUGUAACUGACGCUGAGGCGCGAAAGCGUGGGGAGCAAACAGG